AGCAGUGUUGUUUUUGGCAGGCAUUUUAGAUUUAGUUUUAGUCUUAGUCAUUUUGACGAAAUGCUUCUUCAUUUUAGUCCCAUUUUAGUCAUUUCUAUCCUUGAUAGUUUUCGUCUAGUUUUAGUCCGACGAAAACUCAAACGGUUUUAGUCUAGUUUUAGUCAACAAAAAGGUGCCUUUUGAGGUUCGUGGUGUUCUUUCCCGACAGUUUGAAGCCGCAGCAUGAGGAAGCUGUGGCUCCACAACUGUCGUCUGUCUCGUCUCCCCGUCCCCGUACAAGACAUUGUGUUUUAAUGUCACUUGGACUGUAUCUGAAGUAGGACCAUAAAGCAUCCCUCUUUUUUCGGCCACCGGGCACCGCUGCUGUGCCUGCCGCCACGGUGUGUGUGUGUGUGUGCGCGCCUCGUCCACCUGCCGCUCUGUGUAGCUGUAUGAGUGUGUGCGCGCAGCUGUGCGCGAGCGAGGCUUUUGGUGCGUGUGUGAUGGGGGCGUGACUGUUAGGAAAAAAAAAAGCAUGUUUUGAAAGUUUGUUCGUCCACCUAAUAACAAUUUAGUCUCG